rnacentral:tRNA from 2 species
GCCCCUAUAGCUCAGCUGGUUAGAGCCCCGAACUCAUAAUUCGGUAGUCCUCGGUUCAAGUCCGAGUGGGGGCA